GGUAAAACAGGGAAAAAAACUUUGUUAGGGAAGUAGUAACUUUUCAGGGUUUUCUUUUCUUUAUAUGGGCCAACCAAACAGAAAUAAUUUUGGAGAUUUAAUCGGUUCUCACAUGUCAUUAAUCCUUAUACCAAACACACGAACUCAUAUCCAAGCAGGACUGUAACGAACUGUUUGGGAAAGACCAGUAGAGCUGAAGAAGGGGCAUCUGUUUGAAGGAUGGACUGAAGGGGUCAUCAACUUUUGGUAGCUAUUAAAGUGUCCAUAUACCAAACACAGUUUUGCUUUAUAUGUUGUCACCUGACCUAUGGAGAAAAGGAAGGAGAUUAACUAAAAAGGAAUGCUGAUGUUCAAGAAAUCCACCGAAGGACAAUAUUUAAUCCAGUUUCGAGAGUCAACAUGCCUAAAACGAUAUAUGAUCAUGAAAGGAAUGUAUGGCUAGGUGAUCUCAACUAUAGGAUCAACUUACCAUAUGAGAAGACACACGAACUCAUAUCCAAGCAGGAUUGGAACGAAUUGUUUGGGAAAGACCAGCUGAAAGUAGAGCUGAAGAAGGGCAUCUGUUUGAAGGAUGGACCGAAGGGGUCAUCAACUUUCCUCCAACGUGUAAGUACAAGGUUAACUCAGAAAAGUACAUAAGUGAUGAUAACAAAUCUAGAAGGAGAACACCUGCAUGGUAUAUUUUUGUUCUAAACUUACACUAAUGUCUUAAUAGUGCAUACACGAGUCAAGUCUUCUUGCAAAUAUAACAAAAGUAUUUAGUAAUCACAGUAUUAGAAUUUAAACGGACAUUGGUUCCCUGCUGUUCAGCUUCACUACUUUAUUAAUUGAAAAACAUUCUAUUAGAUCCAACUGAAAUAAAACGACAGGCGGUUAAAAGUGUUAAUUCUCAAAUUCGGUGUGUUGCUUCCUUACUCAUACUUAUAUUAUGGUGCGUAACUCUGUACAAGAUUAAAUGGUUGAAAUGCCCCACCGGUGCAUCUUUUGGUUUCGGUGGUAAACUUGUUUCUUUCCAUCCGGUGGCACCCACCCAAGGUGCGCAAACAUCUACAUCUGAGGUACAUGUGCACAAUUUGGUGAUUGAGCAAAGUCUGGUGAGCCGAUCAACUGAAUUUGAAGCUGCUAUUCAGAAUGGCGACAAAAGUUCGCUACGUGCUCUGUGUGAAAAAAAUCACAAGAAUCUUUUUCUGACGAGGAGAGAGAAACCUGGGGCUUCUUAAGGGUUAUGUUUGAGGACGGGGAUUUUGCAAGGACAAAAUUGCUUGCUCAUCUUGGCUUCGAACCACCUCAGGCACCGCCUGCAAGUUCAACUGAUGAAUUGAGCCAAAUAUUGGCAGAUACACUUAAUAUUGAUCAUGAUGCAGUAACCGAUAAUGCGGAUGCCCAGUUUUUUUGAUAAUGGGGAUGAUUUUUUCAACAAUCCUCAACCUUCAGAGGCUAGCUUGGCUGAAGAAUCAGUUUCUACAAAUGGUCAACAGAUAGAACAGGAAGUUUCUGGAGAUGCUGUGCCAUCAGAUCCAUCAAUUGACAAAAGCAUUCAACAUGCGUUGGUGGUUGGAGACUACAAAGGGGCAGUUAACCAGUGUCUUGCUUCUAAUCGUAUGGUUGAUGCUUUGGUUAUAGCCCAUGCCGGUGGUUCUGCUCUCUAGGAAAGCACAAGAAAUCAUUAUCUCAAGAACAGUAUCUCACCCUACUUAAAGGUUGUCUCUGCUAUGGUGGGCAAUGAUUUAAUGAGUUUUGUGAGUACCUGGCCACUAAGUUCAUGGAAAGAAACUCACGCCCACCUAUGGACCUACCCUCUCGCCUCACAGCAUGGCCGCCGGCUUGGUGUCGCCCCCGACCAAGGUUAUUAAGGCGUUAAGGCGAGACAUGGCGACCCACCCCCUUCCAAACGCCUAGGCGAGUUAGGCGUGCGGCGAGGCGACGCCAUACGAGCAUGGGCACUCGAGUCAAAGAGGUGGUACCUGUCGGCUUGUCACUGUGAUGAGGUAGCAGAGAAGUAGAAUGCCAUAACAUCUGGUGUUCUGAAGAAGCGACAAAAGGACUUGCUGAGCGGUUUGAGUAUUUGUAAUGUGCCUAAACUUAAAUCAGAGACAAGGCUGCUGUUAUGAGGGAUAAGUGAGCCAUUCGUAUUUUAGUGAUGUGGCAUGGUAUUCUUUGCAGAAAUCUCAUCUUUGUGUAUAGAUUAUGAAAUAUUUUCCUAUAACAAUGUAACACACAUUUUGUAUAUAAGUUAUUA